AAAGUCGUAACAAGGUUUCCGUAGGUGAACCUGCGGAAGGAUCAUUAAAAUAAGUGCUCUUUAACUUUUAGUUAAGAGACUACACCACUAUCCCAUCUCAUUUUUGAGAUGUGGUUAUUGUGUCUACCCAAUUGUGAAACUUUAAUUUUGCUUCGGCAGCACUCUUAGCGGGCAACUGCUAGAGGGGUAAGGCUGUCAGAAGCCCAUAUCAAAACCAGUUGAUGAAAUGUCAUGCUGUCUGAUAUCAUACUUUUUGAGAAAUCAAAUUAUAUUAAAACUUUCAGCAACGGAUCUCUUGGUUCUC
rnacentral:misc_RNA from 1 species